UACGUAGGGUGCGAGCGUUGUCCGGAAUUAUUGGGCGUAAAGAGCUCGUAGGCGGUGUGUUACGUCGGCCGUGAAAACCUGCAGCUUAACUGUGGGCGUGCGGUCGAUACGGGCAUCACUGGAGUUCGGCAGGGGAGACUGGAAUUCAUGGUGUAGCAGUGAAAUGCGUAGAGAUCAUGAGGAAGACCAGUGGCGAAGGCGGGUCUCUGGACAGUUCCUGACACUGAGGCACGAAGGCCAGGGGAGCAAACGGG
rnacentral:rRNA from 1 species